ACCGUUGGCCCUCCCCAUCCGUUGGCCCUUACUCCCCUAGCCGCUAGCUGCCUCUCCUCUGCUCCCCUCCUCUCUCACGAACCCUAGCGCUGCCACACCCCGCCGCAGCCGCCGCAUCCCUCCCCGCUCUCCAUUCGCCCCACGACCUCCUUUCAUGGCGGCGCCCUCCCCAUCUUCAAUCUAGGGCCCAGUCAGCUGAAGCAGACGGAGAGAGGUGGCAGAUGUGCGUCCUCUAGGGCCUCGUCAGCCAGAGAUGGAGGGGAGGAGCGGAUAUCAACCAGCAAGGUGGCUCAGUUUGGACCGGCCAUGGUGUUGGCUGCUGACUCCCACCGGUCUUGUCUCCCCCAACCCUUCCAUGGAGCUUGCUUAGCCGCUGGCCGCCACAUCUUCUUCUAGCUCACAACACCAAGGCCAUGUAGCUUACUUUUUUUAACUGUUAUUGCUGAUUGGAGCCAUUGCUAUUGGCUAUUUAUACAUAAGAUGGAAGGUGGAUUGAGAUUUUUGUGAGGGGGAUUGGAUUUUAUCCAGAUGACUUGCUUCUCAUGAUGAGGCUGAUACUAAUGAACUAAUGACGACAUGAAGGUUGCAUCUUAUCUCCAUUUCCCUUUCUACAUUUUCCAUUUAGUCGAUUAACAUACAUUGUACUAUUUCCCUUUCUAUAGUUGCCAUUUAGUUGAUUAACAUAGGUUGUACUAUUUUCGAUUAAGCAGACUAUGGGUUAAUGAAUGUUGAAUUAGCUACUUUUUAUAUCCCUGGACCAUAUAUAUAUAUUACAUGCAUCAGUACUUCAUGCAUCUCUGAUAUGCUUUUGCUUUUUAUUGUUGCCCUUAAUUACUACUUUUCUAUGAACCCAACGUUUAGGUUGCGGGCUCAACUGCAUAUCCAUAUCCUCUGUAUGAAUUUUUUAGCUAGCUUUGAAGCGAAUGUGGUGAUCAAGGCUCUAAUAAGUAUUCUUUAUUUGCAUGAAUGUUGUGUGCAUAUAGGUAGUUGCAAUGGAAUCAUUUUUCUCAUAGACGAGAAGUACAUUGAAAACAGAUUUAAAAAAUUGAUACAAUUUUACAAGUGUGCAGAUAGUUGACAAUGCAACAGUGCUAUUGUUCAAAUGUGGUCGAGCCGGGCUUUCGGUGUUUUCGGUGCUAUUGUUCAAAUGUUGCUUUCUUAGAUUCAUUGCAACCAAAAGAUUUGGUAAUAUGUUUUUCUGAAAGCAUGGAUACACUUGUUGGUGUUGUAUACUGGGAUCUGUAACUAUUGUCAUAGGAAUUUUUGAUCCUAAGGAUUCACAUAGAUUGGAGGGGAGUUAGUAUCUAACAUCCUGUUAAAUGUACACAAACUAGUAUAUCUUCUUCAUGGCUUUUAAGAUAUAAUUGUAUGUGCUAAUUUAUGCUUUGAUAAAGUAACAUCUUACUUCUCGGUGCUUGGAUAAAAGAGUAUAGUUUGCUGAAAAUAUGUUCAUACUAUAUAUCACAGAAGUACAAGCUUACAAUCAGCCUAUGGUGAAGUUAAAAGAAGCAAAAAUUAUUGUGUGUAUAAUCAUUAGAUUUCUUUACCAAGGUGAUUCGGAUUUAUUUUUGCUGCUUUAUGUAGAAUGUAGAUUAUUUUUAUUCCUGUUGCUGCAUUUGGCCCUACAUGUCGAUGGGUGUGGCCACUCCCUUGUUAGUUUGUUGCUUGAUUCGGUUUGGUCCAAGGUAGGCUGUUUGUUGUCUACGUCUGUAUAUUCGUUGGUUGGAUAAGAAGAUUUUGCAGGUUUUUCUCUGGUUUGGUUGCUUCUACUCCCAGUGCAGGUUCCUAUAAUUUCUAGACAAUGUAUUGGUUCUACGGAUUAUCUCGGUUAGUUUAAAAGUGCUUUGGUUGCCUUCUUGUCUUCACGCAUAGACCAUGGAGAUGGCUAGGUUUGCAUGGGCAUGGGGUUUGCACACCUGGACUCUGUUAAGAUUUGUUAAUAAAUUCAGUUUGUCACGAAUACCAUAAAUGUGUAUCAGUUUACUAUAUUGGCACAUGAGCUAUUUUUCAGUCAAUGCGUGCCCAGUCCACUUGGAACUGAAUAUGCAGUGUUUUCUUUGAAACUGAAUAACGGUGGUUGAAAUUUAGUUUCAUUUAGACGAGCUACCCCAAGUAUCAUCAAUUCAUGAUGGCUAAUUUGUUUUGGUUCUUGAUGAAUCGGCCUUGGUCCUGAUUUAAGAGUUUUUACGUUAUUUCUCAGCUUAUUUCAGCUAUUAUCUUUUCUGUUUAACACACACAAUUGUAGCUGCCCUUUUGAUUCAGAAAAAUGGUUUCAUGUUUGUGGUUUGGUUAAACAUUUUCUCAGCAUAUCUCUAUUCGUCAGCCUUACUCGCAUAACAUCCAACAUAGUUUGUCUGAUCCAAACUAAAUGUUGGUUGUUUCUAUGGUUUGUGUGCUGUCUAUUUUUCUUCGAUCUUGGUCAUUAAAGAUGUGAAAAGAAAGAAAUUUCAAAAGGUUUGAUAAUCUAGAAUGCUCAUAUGGAGUUGUUUGAACCAGUUUUUUUAGUAGCUGCUGAGACCAGAUGUAUUUGAAAGUUUUCAAAUGUACCAACAGUAGGAGUUGACCAAUAAUGUUGAAUUGAUUCAGUCUUCAGGCCUUAUGCACAACCUCCACAAUGUUAAGAUAAUAUAAGCUUUAAUGCUCCUGUGCACUGCUUUAAUGCUUCUGCUUGCUUGUCUGAAUCUUGUUGUUGUUCAUUAAUUUUUUGUCGCCUGCUGUAACCCGUGAGGGGGAGUUGGAUCCAUCUUGGAUAACCAUCCCCAAUAAGAUUUUAAUACACACUGAUGGUGACAAAAUCGAUGCCAUUGUUCAGGAUGUAUACAAAAAUGUUCCUACAAGGUAUUCUGACAUUGAUUAUCUAAAAAGAAAGAGCAAUUCUAACACCAACGAACCAAGUAGUUUAAAAAAAUAAUUGAGUGUGUUCUAUCUUUAGUGCCUACCAGUGAGAGAGUACCUAAGCUUUGUCAAGUGUCCAUGCCUAUGUUUUAUAUGAAAGACCUUUCCUCUUUUGCACAAACCAUGCUUCCUGUACAAUGAUAUUUAAUAGCAGAAAACUAAAUAGGUUGGUCAGGAAACUGAAGCUGCAGCUAUUGAAGAGCCAAAGAACAUUCUUGCUGAACAUACUAAAGCCAAGAGGUAAAGACUCACAGUCUGUUACAACAACCAGUUCAACAUAUGCUAUGGUGUGCCGCCUCUUGUUCUUCCUUUACCUUGUCUUCUUUGACAACCAAACCAUCCUUCUUUGUGGCUCUCAAAAAUGCUUUCUUCUUCAGACCAUGCAUGUUAUGCUAUUUGAUCAAACUAUCUUUUCUGCCACAGCUAUAUUCAAAUUGAUCAUAGGCCCAAUAAAACAUCAUUUUACCUUCAAAAUCUAAUCUAUGUUUUAUUUAUUUUCAUGUUGUAUACACAGGCAACUCUUCCUGUUGCAUCAAAAGUAACUUGGUUCGUACAUGCAAACUAAUUUGCCAUAAAGUUAAAUUAGCUAUGUAUUAAGAUUCGGUACAUCUACUGCUUAUUUAUGUUGUGUUCUAUUUGAUGUGUCCAAUAUUUAUGUGCUUGUUAUUUUUAUCACACUGUAAUCAAGAUUCUGUUCUUAUAGCAAUAAGAAACCUUGUGCAAUCAAGCUUCUAUUCUUAUAGCAAUUAUAGUUUUGAUACCUUUGUUUCUUUAUAUCAUCUUGUUGGGUUUCUGUUUCUCUUCAUAUAGGAUACAGAUAUGUGAUUUCCAUGUGAUCCUUUUGCUGGAAAUUUGCUAAUCUUAAGGGUGCUGCUACUGGUGUAAAAACCAUUUUAUCAAAAGAACUAAAGUAGUAGCUAAUCCAAGCAUUGAAGAAUUGACGCAGAGGUUACGCUAUAUUGGCAUGAAGUUAGAGCAGCUCCUGAAGACUACAUAAGAUAGUUUCUGGUGACCUUUAGUCUAUAUGUCCUAACCAACAACAGCCACCUUUUAUUUCGUACCAAUCGAUCGAGUAUCUUUCCCCUUUUUGCGUUGCUCUGAGGAAGAUAUGUAUAGCCUUUAGAUUUCCAUUCGUGUAUGAUACUACAUGUACACUUUAGACCUCAUUAGUGUCUCUGUGGUCAAAAGAAGUUUGUGAUCACUUGUUCUAUAUAUGUAAUCUACUGCCCUUCUACUAAUAUUUUCAGAAGACUA